rnacentral:rRNA from 1 species
CGGGACGGGUGAGUAAUGUCUGGGAAACGUGCCUGAUGGAGGGGGGUAACUACUGGAAACGGUAGCUAAUACCGCAUAACGUCGCAAGACCAAAGAGGGGGACCUUCGGGCCUCUUGCCAUCGGAUGUGCCCAGAUGGGAUUAGCUAGUAGGUGGGGUAACGGCUCACCUAGCGACGAUCCCUAGCUGGUCUGAGAGGAUGACCAGCCACACUGGAACUGAGACACGGUCCAG